GCAGUCGAGCGAAUGGAUUAAGAGCUUGCUCUUAUGAAGUUAGCGGCGGACGGGUGAGUAACACGUGGGUAACCUGCCCAUAAGACUGGGAUAACUCCGGGAAACCGGGGCUAAUACCGGAUAACAUUUUGAACCGCAUGGUUCGAAAUUGAAAGGCGGCUUCGGCUGUCACUUAUGGAUGGACCCGCGUCGCAUUAGCUAGUUGGUGAGGUAACGGCUCACCAAGGCAACGAUGCGUAGCCGACCUGAGAGGGUGAUCGGCCACACUGGGACUGAGACACGGCCCAGACUCCUACGGGAGGCAGCAGUAGGGAAUCUUCCGCAAUGGACGAAAGUCUGACGGAGCAACGCCGCGUGAGUGAUGAAGGCUUUCGGGUCGUAAAACUCUGUUGUUAGGGAAGAACAAGUGCUAGUUGAAUAAGCUGGCACCUUGACGGUACCUAACCAGAAAGCCACGGCUAACUACGUGCCAGCAGCCGCGGUAAUACGUAGGUGGCAAGCGUUAUCCGGAAUUAUUGGGCGUAAAGCGCGCGCAGGUGGUUUCUUAAGUCUGAUGUGAAAGCCCACGGCUCAACCGUGGAGGGUCAUUGGAAACUGGGAGACUUGAGUGCAGAAGAGGAAAGUGAUUCCAUGUGUAGCGGUGAAAUGCGUAGAAGAUAU
rnacentral:rRNA from 1 species